rnacentral:lncRNA from 1 species
GGCAGCUGUUCUGCCAAGCCUGGCCGGGUGGCGGUCUUGCCCGCGUUGCUUAGCGACGUCUGCGUAAGAUUGGUGCGCAUUUCCAGAUGUUCAGCAUCUGAGCUAACAGCGCCCACCUUCCUCGGCGUGAGGCACCCUAGGUGUCCCCAGGUGAAGUACCCUGAGCUGGCCGUCCCCACUCUGCACUUGGGGAUCUGCCUCGAGCCAUAAACCCUCCAAGGCUGCGCACUCCCCGGGAGGGCGGGUUUGGGUGAGGCCCGGGAUUAGGGGCGCGCGGAGCCCGGAGUGGGAGCCCCAGUGACGCACCAGUGACGUCGGCGGCGGCGGGCGGGAUUUCCCGGCCCCUCCCGGCGCGGGAGGAGACCUGCUGCGGAGUGGGUGCGAAGGAGUGGGUGCGGCCAGCGUGGCGCAGCAGGCGAGGGUUGGGGGGUCACCGUCUUGCACCCAGUGGGCCCACUGCGCAGACCCGAGGUCCCGCUUGCGGGUGGCUUUGCUGUGGCUUGUGCUCCGUGCCGCGCCCCCUUUUCUCCCCAGACGCGCAGGGUCUUCUGUGGUCCGGGACCCCGCGGGUGGCGACGCGGGGCGCGCUUUCACUGAGCCCGGGGCGAGCGAUGCCGCUUGGCCUGGCCAACCCCGUCGAGCGCCGCGCCGGGGACCCAGCCCGCGUCUGAGCAGCGCCGGCUGCGCGCCGGCUGCGGAGAACCCCACAGCAGGACCCUGAGUCAGCUUCUCUUCCAACAGCCAACUUCUGCUGCUGCAGUGUCCCCUGACUGGACCUGCCCCUGUACCACCUCUCAGCAGGUAAGAAUGGAUAUCCACAGAGCAGAGAAAAGUGAGACUCAGGAAACAGGGUCCUGUGGUGGCAGAAGUUCUUCACGCCAUCAAUGUCAGUCCUAGUCUCCCUCUUCCCCCGUAGCAGACUUAGGGACACUCUUAGCCAAGGCAGGUGGACGGUCUGACGACACCCACCAUUCUGAAACUCCUUUCCUCGUCCUGAGUCAGGUCAUUCAACAGCACUGGAAUGAAACUGCCUCACCCUGGCUCCCAUCCUAAGUUGGCACUUGCUGAGUUAGGAACCACCAAUGCAGCCUGCCAGAGGUCCCUAAAUGACCCGUCAGUCUAAAUGUGCCCGUGUGCCCAAGGAGCCUGACAUCAAGGCCCCAGGGUGGCCCUGAACAAUUGACUCAGGUUUCCUUCCACGUCACCUUGCUGGAGGCCAGUACCCACUAGUGUCCUCUGGAGCCAGCACGGAUGUCUGUUUGUCACCACCCCUGUUGUGGGAAACUGUUCUCUCAGCAGUAUAGCCAUUGCCUUCUUCAUCCGAGCAGCAG